rnacentral:lncRNA from 1 species
AGGCACAGAUCACUCCGCCGGAUCAACAAUACUUGCUGCUUCCUUCCUUCGUCUCCGGCCGGCUCUCUGCGGUGCUCGACGACUAGCAGUCUGAGGCGGUGACAUCGCCAAAGGUACUCUUCCUCCGCUUCUGUUCGAUUCUUUUGUUUCAGCUAGCUCUCUUCGGCCUUUUCCCAUUCUUUGUGGUUUUGAUGUGGAUCCUUGAUGUGCAGAGUUCAAUCUGUUCAACACUCGCUCAGCAAAGGGAAUUGCGAACCGGAGGUGAAGAGCUGCUGUUCCGUGUUGAUCGCCCCAAUCGAGGUGAUGCUUUUGCUCAUCAUGAGGACGACUUUCUUUUCCCAUUCAAGUCGUGUGUGUAGAUAUCGAGGGCAGGAGAGGUCCAACUUUUGCUCGAUCUGUUCUCCCCUCUCGUUGAUCUCUUGUUGCUAUGGCGGAGCUACCAGUAAAUAGCUCAACCAUAUUUAACAUAAAGUAAAAAAAAGGGUUAAAUUCUGAAUCGUACUACUUUAAUAGGGCAUGUUGUCGAGGUUGGGUACUCGAUUGUUCGCUGCAACGCUCCUUCCGGUACAUCUAAAUUGCUAUGUCCACCGUAUUCAGACUUUUGUUUUUUACUUUUGCUAACUUUGGGGAAGCAACACCAAGCAACGCACUUAUCCCAGUAGUUUUUCUAAUUCUGUCAAAACAGUUAACAUGAUUUUUAACCACAGAAAAAAUAGGAAACAUGAUUUUGAGGCUGCAUGUAAUGAGAGUAUCAUAGAUAGUAUCAUGCAUGUCAACAAAGCAAUUUUGAGGAGGUGACAUUGAAUUAAAUUAAGAAAAAAAAAGUUAACUAUCAUAUCAUAAUACCGUAUCAUAAUUAAAUUAAGAAAAAGAAAAUUAAAUUUUAUAGGGCUUAUCUUAAAUUUUCCUUUUUAUUGAUUUAAAGGGCUAAUUAAAUUAAGAAAAAGAAAAUUAAAUUUUAUAGGGCUUAUCUUAAAUUUUCCUUUUUAUUGAUUUAAAGGGCUCAUCUCCAUCUUCUAUUGAGAUUCCGAGGCGCGUUAAAUAUUUGCAUACAAGAAUUAAAAAGAAACUCACCAAUGCAUGUAAUGUUCCUACUCAUCUAGUGGCCAAGCAUGCAUGCAUUAUAAUCUAAAUUAAUGCAUCAGUUUAAUUUGGGCAAUUUUAUAAAAUACGAUACAUUUUUCCAUCAUCAUCUGCCUUGGUUGAUGAGAUUUUACAUUUGAGCUCUAUAAACCGAAAAGAAGAGAGUAUGUAUCUUGUAUAACAAUAAAUAAAUUCAUCCAUGAAACUAGUCUAUGAUACCAUGCAUACAAAGUUAUUCUUUCCGUCCGGUUUUAUUAGACCCCCAACCAAAUCACAGGUACCCAUGCAAGGUGAUUAAUCCCUGGAAGCAUGCAGCCAUUUAAUUUCCUGACACUUUGGAAGCCGGCCCAGCUCACACGCACGAUGAUGCUGCUACUUUGUGGCGGCCUCGGAUGCCGCACGGUGCAUGCAUAUGCCAAUCGAAGGAGGACUAGAAGUGCAUGCGUUGGUUGGCUAGCCGUGGUGUUGUGCUAGGAGUAGUACUAGUCGCUCAUGUAUAAGGUCAUGUUUGUUUCAUAAGUCCUAGAACUUUUUUAAUUUCGAACUUAUAAGUCCUGAGUCCUUAUCUGUUUGUUUACUGGGACUUAUUAUGGGCUAGAGGUUAUUAAAUGACAUGCAAAUCAUCACUAUAAGUUUCUAUAAGUUCCUCCCUGAGAGUCUUUUUUGAUAAGUCCCAAAUCAUCACAAGUCCCUCAUGUUCAGUUUAGAUGGCACUUAUAGGGAAUUUUUUAAGUCCCAAAACCAAUAAGUCCCUGGAAACAAACACCCUCUAAGACUAGGUAUAGUGGGAGUAACUUAGAUAGUAACACACUCAUCAAUGUAUAAGGCUAGUCAUAGUGGGAGUAACUUAAAUAUAAACUGACACAUUCAUCUGUAAUCAUGAUUCUGUAAAGUUUGUUUAUAGGUGUAGCAUCUCUCAUAAAAAAACACUCCAUUGUUUUCCCCGCACGCCAAACCAACUAGCACGUAAAUAAUUUUCACAACUUAAAAAAAUUAUCACGUAAAACAAAACAUGUACUCCCUUCUAGUAUCAUAGAAGUAGUAUCGAUGAAGGGACCUAAGAGCAUCUACAACCACAAUAAGCAAAUCUCGUCUAUGAAUGCCCACAGACAAGUGUCUAUUUUGAACCCUUAUAUUUUCUGUCAAAUAACCACGCACCUCAAGUAUACUCCCUACUUCAAGGCAUUUUGACGAACACACUGCGUGCGACGGCGCCAGAGCACGUAACGCCGUCGCGGCGAACUCCGGCGCCAAUCUUCACGGACGCGCGAGCUCCGGCGCUCUGCGUGCACCUGCUCGAGCGCACACGCAGCGGCUAGCCACCACGCGGCUGUGCACGCAAGCCACCGGACGCGACCAGCGUCUCACAGGUCACAGCUAGCUAGCUAGCUGGCAUGCGGCGGCCAGGGGCGCGGGUUGCACGCACCGGACGCAGCCAGCACACGAGCAGCGGCGGGCAGGCAAUGCCUAGUACACAACGGCGAGCCAGGACGCGAGCAGCGGCAGGCACGCGGGCGUCCAGCGGGCACGCAGCAGCUAGGACGCAGCGGGCAUGUGGGCGGCAGGCGGGCAUGCGGCGGCUAGGACACGGCAGUGAGCCAGGACGCAAGCAACAGCGCGCACGAGGCGCUAGGACGCGAGCGGGCGGCGGGCAUGCAGCGGCUAGGAUGCGGCGGCCAACAGAGGGACGAGAGAGAGAGGACGGAGUGGGUUGCUGCAUGUGGGACCACGUGGGAGGGCUGUGACGUGGAGUGGGGUAACCGGGCGUGACCAGGGUUGAUCGGGCAGCCUCAUAUCGUCCCAUAUUUCAGAUGGGUUUGAGACGUUUAGAGAAUGAGGGGUCCGUUUGGGUCACCUAUUUUGACCGGACACUGACGGGGCUGGCGUUUUAGACGUUGAGCAAGGAAAUAUGGAGUCCGGUUGUAGAUGCUCUAAUAUGUGCGGACGCGCUCCGGCCACCCAGAGGCUUAAUAAACCUAGACGGUGGGAGUAGUAUCAUACACUAGUAUCAUAUGCAUGAUACUAAUUUAUGACACUAUUCAUUAGGUGCAGCGUGAGGAGCCUCCUUGCUGCGCUAAAUUUAACAAGCUUUGCUACACCUACGCAUGAUUAGGCUGCCCAUAAUGAAAGUAUUAUAGGAGUAUCAUGCAUGCCAACUAGAAAAUUUUGAUAAGGUCACAUAGAAUUAAAUGCAGAAAGAGAUGAUUGAGUAUCAUAACCGUAUCAUAAUAAAUAAUGUGCUACUAUAUGUCAUGCAUGACAAUUAAUGAACUCAUAUAUGAUACCGACCUAUGAUAAUGCAUUACAAAGGUAGUACUCUCUCUGUUUAGGUGCAUAAGUCAUCUUAGGUUGUGCACCGCGACCAAGGUGAAGAAAAAAACUAUAGAAUUUAAUGUUUAUUUUUUAAUUAAUACCAUUGCAUGCAAUGAUCUGACCACUGCAUGUCGUGUUUGGUAAUCUUAAGUCAUUGGAAGCAUACAUGCCCCACAUCUUUUAUUGGUUGAUUCUUUAUUUAUGUCAAGAAACAAGAAAUAGGGUGAGAGUUAAUGCACUGCGUCUAUGUGUUUUGGGAUUAUUUGGUUUUCGUAAGGUGACUUAUGCACCUGGACGGAGAGAGUACCAUACAUUGAUAUCAUAUGCAUGACACUAAUAUAUGAUACUCCCAUUACGACCAACCUUAUAGGAUGAAGUGGGUUACGGGAUGAUUUGACUGUUUUCUCUUGGUCAUUAGUUGGGGACGCGACCCACCCUAAAAUUCAACCGGAGGGGAGGGGGUUGAUUAGUGGGGAAGGGAUAUAUCGUAGCUUACAUAAAAACCUGUCGUAAGUCUACCAGUUUUGAAAUUUAAAAGUAGAUUAGUUACAUUUACACAACAAAUGUUGUAAACAAGCUAAGAACAGCCUCGGCCCCUGUGCUGCUCCCGCGAGCAGCCCGGGCGCCCAACCUCCGCUUCCUCCAGCAACACACCCCUCCCCUUCCCCUGCCUCGCCGUCGUUGGGCAAAGCCUAUGCGGCGUCGAUGGCGGCGAGGCCUCCCCUCCCUCUCGCAUGGCUCUGUGGUGCGGGGCAGUGGAUCUCACGACGGCGAUCUGAGGGCUUGGGUCCAUUGUUGUAGGCCAUGGUCGACGUGAGCAUCGCGGGGUCAUCCAGGGGCGUAAAGGAUGUCCCUUUCAUCUUGUUUCUUCUGUUGGCGGUGAUCGAUGGCUUAGCAGGGCUUGGAGGUGGCGAUCUGAGAUGCCGGGGUGGCGGCCCUGGACGGUGGACUGCGCAGUUGGCUCUUCGGCGAGCGACAUUGUGGUGGUGGUGGCGUUUCUCCUUGGCUGUGCAAGCAGCGAGGAGCGAGGCGGCGGGGAUCAUAGUGAUGGCGUUGCUUCCGCGGGGGAGUCGUCCAGGUCAUGGUGUGGAGGCCUGUUUUGGUGGUGGCGGACUUGAACCGUGGUACUUCGAUGUGGUGCAAGAGUAUCAUUGGGUUAAAACUUAGCACUUUGGCGCGACGGCGGUGAUGCCUGUGGGUGUCGUGUCCCUCUCCGGGGCGUGGUUGUGGUAUCUCUCCCCGCAUCAGGGCUCCGAGUGAAAACCCUUAACCGUGUCUUCGGUUUUUUACGGCUACAGCCUGUUGCAUCAUCACCCUCUUGGGGGCGUCGCCGCGGAGAGUAGGUGCCCUCCGGUUGUGUUUCUUUGACAUCGGCGGGCGAGCUCGGAUCCUAUCUCGAAGCUCCUUCAGCUCUGGCUUGCGGCUGUCCCGACAUCUUCCUAUCCUUUACACGUGACGUUGAGGGCAUCGUUCUUGGUCCUUAUUGUCUUCAGGCAGUAUUGGUGGUCAAUGGUCCGGAGCGAGAGGGUAGGGGUGCCCUCUCCAGCGACAACUUGGUGUGUGUGUGUGUGUGUGUUGCAUCGAUGUCCGGUGGUUUCUCUUGGAGGUGCGGUCUCUCUUCUAUUUAGUAGCCUCAGGUUUGUAAUCUUGUUUUAUAUUUGAUCUGCUUUGUAAGAGGUUUCCCUCGUCACUUUGUAUCGGUUCGGUCGUGUUACUCUAUAUAUAAAGCAGGGCGGAAGCCUUUUACGACGAACAAGCUAAGAUUAAUAAGUAGUGCACUUUGGUCAUCAGGAGCAUCCCCCAUAUUUAAUCGAAAGCGAUUUAAGCACCCUAAGAACUGCAAGUUCGUUGAAACCUUGAAAGUCAGACGGGGUUUGGUGGUGGUCCUCAACACUGCUGGUGGAUGCGGUGCUGUUAGUGGACUGGGCUACCACUCACCAAUACAUUGGUAUAAUUGUUUUUUGCAAAAAUCUUAGGCGGACCACAGCCUGGUUCGACCCUCUAUGUAGCUCUGCUUGUGGUUGCCGUUCCACUGAUUUGAAAGGUAAUGCACUUCCACAAACCAAAAAUAUACAACAUUUGCUCAUCCAGUGGUUCUCUAAAAACAAUUAGUAUCUUCGAGCUGUCUCCACUUCCUCCUCUGUAAAACUUUACUAUUUUUUUAUGACUUUGGGUGAUCCUGAUGUGAAUUUACGAUGUGUAAAAUUGGAUCUAUUAUCCACUUCAGUUCAUCUUCUCAGUAGUUGUUGCAAAGGUGAAAGGUCUAUGCAAAUUGGAUUCGAAUAGCUGCUAUUCAGAGUACCCAUUUCUUCUACUUGUGCUCGGAUAGCCAAAGCAGGCAAUGCAGAUGUGCUUAGUAUACUAUUACUUUCACUGACCAAGCAUGUUCAGGUUUUGCUCAUUCUGUCUUCUGAAAACGAUUAAUGUUUGCAUUACAGAAUUUCAACCCAAGGACAAUGCUAUAGCCAUCUAUAGAUCGAGCACAACGACAAACAA